GCUUUUGGUUGUGAUGUUGUGAAUUCAAUUCCCAGGCCAGGCAGUAUAUUGUGCUCUUGAGCAAGACACUUUAUUUCAUGUUGCUCCAGUUCACUCAGCUGUAGAAAUGAUUUGCGAUCUAACUGGUGCCAAACUGUAUCAGCCUUUGCCUUUUCCUUGGGCAACAUCAGUGGCAUAAAGAGGGAAGGUUGGUACUCAUGGGCAACUACCGGUCUUCCAUAAACAACCUUGCCCAGACUUGUGCCACAUAGGGGAACUUUGUAGGUGCAAUUCCAUGGUCAUUCAUGACUGAAGGAGG